UACGUAGGGUGCAAGCGUUAAUCGGAAUUACUGGGCGUAAAGCGUGCGCAGGCGGUUAUAUAAGACAGUUGUGAAAUCCCCGGGCUCAACCUGGGAACUGCAUCUGUGACUGUAUAGCUAGAGUACGGUAGAGGGGGAUGGAAUUCCGCGUGUAGCAGUGAAAUGCGUAGAUAUGCGGAGGAACACCGAUGGCGAAGGCAAUCCCCUGGACCUGUGACUGACGCUCAUGCACCGAAAGCGUGGGAGCAAACAGG
rnacentral:rRNA from 1 species